rnacentral:lncRNA from 10 species
UGGACAGCUGUUGGAGGUCACCGCUGAGCAGCUCUUUGCAAUUGCAAAGCUCCCACUGGAAAACAGAGAUUAAUGAGCUCACAAAUGGAACAGCACAUAAUUUCAGAUCUUGGUGAUGAUAACAAGGAGCUCUUUAGGAUCCUCCUUGCUUGAUAACAGAAUCACUUUCUUUCUUACGUUUGUCAUCCAGAAGUCUAAAGUCAGUAGCAGUAAUGGAAAGUUGGGCUAAUGUGGAGAUAUUCCAAACAGAGCAAGAGCAAAUGGGAUUCUUGGCUUGUCUCUCAUCGUGAUCCUGAUUGAAGACCACUGGACACAUCUGUCAAGACUCUAACCGCAAUCCAUUGGAAAUCACUGGAGAGCCAAAGGAAAUGAAGUCUCAGACAUAUUGUCCAGGCUGGAAUGUAGCGGCUAUUCACAGGCAUGAUCAUAGUGCACUACAGCCUCAAACUCCUGGGCUCAAGCAAUCCUCCCAUCUCAAUGUCCGGAGUAGCUGGGACUACAGAUGUGUGUUAGCGGCUAUGGCAGCCAUCUUGUGACCAGGAGGAAGCUUCUGAGAAUCACAGAGAUGCAACCUCUGAAGCUGCCAAACCACUGCCAGCAGCUGCCUAACCACUGCCAGCAGCUGCCUAUCUCCAGACAUCUUGGUAGGUGAGAAAAAUAACCCCCUAUUCAUUUCAGUUCCCAGAACUUGGGAUUUCUGUUACUUUCGGCUAAAGGUUUUCUGGAUACAUCCCAGAUCACGCAUCUGCCUUUGCAUGGGCACACAUAAAUGGUCUUUGCUAAAUUUCUACUACUUGUCCUUUUCAUUCAACUUCUUAGUGUUCAGAGGUGUUCCCCUUUGUCUCUUCUCUGGGAUUUUGAAUUUAUGCUACUCUGCUUGAGGAAGCUCUGGAGACAUAUUCCUUAAUCACAACAUUCUGUGAAUAUUGAAAGCCUGGGCAAUGGAAAGAACAUUGGCCAGAAUGUCAGGUGGGGCAAGUUCCAUUCCUACCACUGUCACUCACUGUGUGUACUCAGACAAGUCACUUGGCCUCCCAGGACCUCAGUUGCACUCUGUAAAAUGAAAGGCUGGAUUAUAAAACUUUCAGAAUCUCUUUUUAGCUCUAACUCCUAUGGACCCUGAUUGAAAUGGAUGUAGACAUGUUUGUUUUUCCUUUUGUUUCAUGCUUUUCC